AACGAACGCUGGCGGCAUGCCUAACACAUGCAAGUCGAACGGGAUCCUAGCUUGCUAGGUGAGAGUGGCGGACGGGUGAGUAACACGUGGGAAUCUGCCUUUUGGUUCGGGAUAACCGCGGGAAACUGCGGCUAAUACCGAAUGCCCUCGAGAGAGGAAAGAUUUAUCGCCAGAAGAGGAGCCCGCGUCCGAUUAGGUAGUUGGUGGGGUAAAGGCCUACCAAGCCGACGAUCGGUAGCUGGUCUGAGAGGAUGAUCAGCCACACUGGGACUGAGAUACGGCCCAGACUCCUACGGGAGGCAGCAGUGGGGAAUAUUGGACAAUGGGGGCAACCCUGAUCCAGCAAUGCCGCGUGAGUGAUGAAGGCCUUAGGGUUGUAAAGCUCUUUGCCAGGGAAGAUGAUGACUGUACCUGGAGAAUAAGCCCCGGCUAACUUCGUGCCAGCAGCCGCGGUAAU
rnacentral:rRNA from 1 species